rnacentral:rRNA from 1 species
CGGGGGGAGCAAGCGUUGUUCGGAUUUACUGGGCGUAAAGGGCGCGUAGGCGGCCAGCGCAAGUCAGUUGUGAAAUCUCCGGGCUUAACUCGGAAAGGUCAACUGAUACUGCGCGGCUAGAGUGCAGAAGGGGCAACUGGAAUUCUCGGUGUAGCGGUGAAAUGCGUAGAUAUCGAGAGGAACACCUGCGGCGAAGGCGGGUUGCUGGGCUGACACUGACGCUGAGGCGCGAAAGCCAGGGGAGCGAACGGGAUUAGAUACCCCGGUAGUCCUGGCCUUAAACGAUGGAUGCUUGGUGUCCGGAGUCUUAUAGUCUCCGGGUGCCGUAGCUAGCGCGUUAAGCAUCCCGCCUGGGGAGUACGGUCGCAAGACUG